CCCACAUGCCAUCUGAUGUCCAUUAGAAUUUCUAGGCAUGGAAUAGGAAGGAGAGUCCUUCUUUUGGAAGAAAUUUGAAUGCCAAAUAAGAAUGGGAUGCCACAUAUUUUUGGUAUUUAUGGAAGAGUCUUAAAUGUUAAGAACUCUUGAUUUCUUCCUUUCAUUGCACGUAUUCUUUUAAUCCCACACACCAUAUGAUGGCCUUUGGGAUAUGUUGGCAUGAAAGAGGAUGAAGAGUCCUUCUCUUGGAAGGAACUCCACAUCAAAUAUUUGAAGGGACACCCCUUUUGUGCGAUGAAUUUAUGGAAGAGUCCAUAAUGGUAUGGACUCUACAUAUUCCACGCCAAUCCAUCUCCCACGGCCAUAUUAUGGCAUUCAAAUUUUUUCUGAUAGAGGAAGAGUCCUUCUACAAAUGAAAGACUUCAUUUUCCACAUCUUAACCCAUAGGAUUCCAUGCUGAAAAUUAAUUGGAGGCAUGUAAUAAUUAAGGGACGCCAAGAGAUGGUGUCCCAUGGUGUCGCCCAUAUUUUCCUGCAAACAGGGGGCACCACACCUGGUUUUACAUCCCAUUUUGGCUGGAUUUUAGGUGUAAGAAUGAGAGGAUAAAGAUAAGAAAAAGUCUGGAAAGAAUGUAAGAGAAAAGGGAGAGAAAAUGGAAAGGAAGGGAGAAUGAAAUUGGAAAGCAUGUGAUGCUUGUCCAAAUAUCAAGUUGUUCAACUAUUGAACAUCUGACUUAUUUUUGUGUGGUGUGAUACUUUGAAAAAGGAUUCCUAGAGUGUACUAGUGGAGG
rnacentral:lncRNA from 1 species